rnacentral:sRNA from 1 species
ACUAUAAAAAAAAAAUAACAGCAAACAACAAUAUCAUGCCAUGAUGAAUCAGAAACUGUAUUUUUGAAUGGCUGGUGAUUUUUCCCGGAUAUGAUGUCUUCGCACCCUGAAUGAUCAGACCAACAAAAAGGGCA